UCGCUCCUGACCCCAUGCCGAACUCAGAAGUGAAACGCCGUAGCGCCGAUGGUAGUGUGGGGUCUCCCCAUGCGAGAGUAGGGAACUGCCAGGC
rnacentral:rRNA from 1 species